UUUGAAGAUAUUCUUUACUUUUCUUUUUUGUUUUCAUGUUCAAUCUGCAACUUAUAAGAUUGAGAAAUCAUGUCAUCUAUUGACAGGUCCAUAAUAUUUUGUGUUUUGCAUCUACAAACGCUUCUCAGAAUCCCAAAUUCGCAAUUAAUCAGCGAUCUACUAAAUUUACUAUGCAAUUAUGCUUUGGAUUGCUCCGGUGUUGUUUAUGGUUUCCUUCUCAAAUUUGAACAUUUUGAUUGGUUUCCUAUUUAUGCCGCUGUGAAAGACAUGAUUUGGUUUUCAUGUUGGAGGUCUCUUUAUCAUUAUUAUCUUGUGUAUUUUUAAAUCAAGUUUGGCUUGGAAGUUCAUCAAUUGAAGAUAUUAAUUGUUGGAUUUUGCAUCUUAAUUUCAUGCGAACUAUUUUUCAAGCAAGUUGUGCUAACUAUACAUGUUGAAUUUAUAUGGAAGCGUAUAUACUUAAGAUAUUGCUUAUCUAGUUAAUUAUAUCACUUACACUACUAAAGAUUACUUGAGGAUUUGGUCCUGCUUAUAUGCAUAAUGGUCUACAAUGAGGGGGUCUUUCAAACUGGGACCUGACUCUGUAUUUGGUACCAUUGUUGUGAUGCAUUUUUUAUUUUUAUCUUUUUCUUCUCUUUCUUUUUCGUCUUUUGGCAGGUGAAAGAAGAAAACAAAGGCAAAAGCAGGAGUAGAUGGAAGUGCUGCUAGUAAAACUAUUUAUAUGAUAGGGGAGGUGUUGGCACUUUGGGAACGAAUUUUUAUUUGUAUUAGAGGAUACAUGGAGGUUCUCUUCUUCCAAUCCACGGCCACCUCCCUUUCUCGCCAUUUGUUUCUCUGUUUCUCUAUUUCUCUCUUCUUCUUGUGAUCCUCUUCUUAUUCUUCUUCUUCUUGUUGUUGUUGUUAUUGUCUUCUUGUUCUAUAAAGAGUUUGAAUUGGGGUGAUUUAGAAGAGGUUUAAUCGAGAAAGGAGUUACAUGGAAUCUUGAUUUUGAAAUUUAGGGUUUUGAUUCGGUUGUGAUGGGCAAUGUGGAGCUCAAGGGACGAAAUGGGGGUGGAGGUUGGGGUCAGAGAUGGGUUUGUGCUAUGGGGGCGCUGAUUGCGGUGCUUCUAGCCACGGCGGUGACUUCUAGGACAUCACCCAAGAUCCCUCUUUUUAGGGUUCGAGUAAGUACACGGGGAUCGUGGAGGAUUGUUGUUGUGAUUAUAAGACUGUUGAUUCUAUCAAUGAGGAAGUGUUGCACCCCAUACUACAAAAGCUUGUGCCGACACCGUUCUUUCGGUAUUUCAAGCCAAAUUAGGCUGCAAGGUAUCCAUGGUGGAGGCUUUUAAAGAAGUUAAUCAAAAGGAUGAUUGGAGUUGGAAUGAGCAGGGGGCCAAUUAGCACAUGAGAAAUUUGCCAAAGCUCGCCAAGAUGUACUAGCUAGAGAAGGACAGGAGGUACAAAUUGAUGAUGAUAAACUAUGGUGGGACAUAUUCGGGGUUGCAAAAAAUCGAUGUUAUGUCAUGGGAAACCUUGUUGAGGAUAUAGCUUCUGAUUAUUCUCAUUCGCAAUCGCAGCGGUCUACAUUGAGAACUCAACAAUCUAUUCCUUCUAUGCCUCCAGAGGUUAUGAGUAAGUUGGAAUUUUUAGAAAAAGCAUACGAGGAGCUGAAGCAGCAAAACUAGUACAUCAUUUCUCUAUUAGAAUCUCAAGGUAUUGAGGUAAACUUUGAAACAACUCCUCGUACUUCCCAUGCUCCUGCCAGGACUGGAGAGUCUGCUUCUCAUGCUCCUCACACUUCAGAGGAUGUUGAACAGCCUCAGCCUGUCGAUGAUAUUGCAACAAAAUGAAUGUGGUGUUUUGGAUUAUUACAUUAAAUACUUGGACUAUUACAUUUUGUAUUUGUUUGUUAUAUUAGAUGCUUGAACUAUUAUAUUUUGUAAUGCAUUGUUAUUCUAGAUAUU